GUGCUCAUUUCAGCAGCACAUAUACAAAAAUUAGACUGAUAAGGAGAUUAUCAUGGCCCAUGUACAAGGAUAAUACAGAAAUUUGUAAAGCAUUCCAUAUUUUU